CUAAGCUUACAAGUGCGGUCGCU
rnacentral:snRNA from 1 species